rnacentral:rRNA from 1 species
UGGGGAAUAUUGGACAAUGGGCGAAAGCCUGAUCCAGCCAUGCCGCGUGUGUGAAGAAGGUCUUCGGAUUGUAAAGCACUUUAAGUUGGGAGGAAGGGCAGUAAGCGAAUACCUUGCUGUUUUGACGUUACCGACAGAAUAAGCACCGGCUAACUCUGUGCCAGCAGCCGCGGUAAUACAGAGGGUGCAAGCGUUAAUCGGAAUUACUGGGCGUAAAGCGCGCGUAGGUGGUUCGGUAAGUUGAAUGUGAAAGCCCCGGGCUCAACCUGGGAACUGCAUCCAAAACUGGCGAGCUAGAGUAGGGCAGAGGGGGGUGGAAUUUCCUGUGUAGCGGUGAAAUGCGUAGAUAUAGGAAGGAACACCAGUGGCGAAGGCGACCACCUGGGCUCAUACUGACACUGAGGUGCGAAAGCGUGGGGAGCAAACAGG